rnacentral:lncRNA from 1 species
UUGCCAUGGAAACUGCAGAAAUGUCAAAUAUUUUCAAAAUGCUCCAAACUUAAUGAAACUUAAUAUUAUUGUUAACUGGCAUGUAUAGAUGAGACUUUUGACUUUGGAAUUUUCAAAAUGGCUGCCGUUGCCAUGGAAACAGCAGAAAUGUGAAACUUUUGACAAUGCUCUUAUUGUACUGAAAAUUUACAGAAAGAUAUAUCGCAAUUCAUAGAUCUGCAUUCACUGUUAAGUUGUUUUGAAAUGGCUGCCGCUUAGUGGCAAUGGGGGAAGGGUGACAUCCGCUAUUGCUUGCAAUGGCAAUUCUAGUUAUUAUUAUUUUUCUUCCACCUAAUUUUGUCCGGCAGUUUUCUUGGAGCCAAAGGAACCAAUCUGAAUGAUGGUGCACUAUAACAAGGAACCCUGACUUUCCAGUUGCAGUGCAACUUUGGAACUAAAAAAUGGCUGCCAUCACCAUGGAAACG